UGUGUGGGGGACACAUGGUUGAGUGUCGUU
rnacentral:rRNA from 1 species